AUGAGCUAGAGAUUACUUUGAAGGUGUUGGGAAGGAAAGGAGGUUAUUAAGAAAUUGGAGAGUUGACAGUGCUAGCCCUUUUUUUUCUAUUAAUCAUUGUGCUUAACUUGUUAAAAUUGGUUUGAAAACUCUGUUAAU